CCUACGGGUGGCAGCAGUGGGGGAUAUUGCACAAUGGGGGGAACCCUGAUGCAGCGACGCCGCGUGGGUGAAGGAGUGCUUCGGCAUGUAAAGCCCUAUCGGCAGGGAAGAAGCAAGACGGUACCUGAAGAAGAAGCCCCGGCUAACUACGUGCCAGCAGCCGCGGUAAUACGUAGGGGGCAAGCGUUAUCCGGAUUUACUGGGUGUAAAGGGGGCGCAGACGGCGAUGCAAGCCAGGAGUGAACGCCCGGGGCCCAACCCCGGGACUGCUCUUGGAACUGCGUGGCUGGAGUGCAGGAGGGGCAGGCGGAAUUCCUGGUGUAGCGGUGAAAUGCGUAGAUAUCAGGAGGAACCCCGGUGGCGAAGGCGGCCUGCUGGACUGCAACUGACGUUGAGGCCCGAAAGCGUGGGGAGCAAACAGGAUUAGAUACCCUGGUAGUC
rnacentral:rRNA from 1 species